AUUGAACGCUGGCGGCAGGCCUAACACAUGCAAGUCGAGCGAGCGGCGGACGGGUGAGUAAUGUAUGGGGACUGCCCGAUAGAGGGGGAUAACUACUGGAAACGGUGGCUAAUACCGCAUACUAUCGGAUAACCCAUAUGGGAUUAGCUAGUAGGUGGGGUAAAGGCUCACCUAGGCGACGAUCUCUAGCUGGUCUGAGAGGAUGUUCAGCCACACUGGGUCUGAUACCCGGCCCAGACUCCUACGGAGGCCGCAGUGGGGAAUCUUGCACCAUGGGCUCUAGCCUGAUGCAGCCAUGCCGCGUGUAUGCAGUGGGCCUUUGGGUUGUAUAGUACUUUCAGCGGGGAGGCGUUACCCGCAGAAGAAGCACCGGCUAACUCCGUGCCAGCAGCCGCGGUAAUUC
rnacentral:rRNA from 1 species